rnacentral:rRNA from 1 species
GACGAACGCUGGCGGCGUGCUUAACACAUGCAAGUCGAACGGAAAGGCCCCUUUGGGGGUACUCGAGUGGCGAACGGGUGAGUAACACGUGAGUAACCUGCCCUUGACUUCGGGAUAACUUCAGGAAACUGGGGCUAAUACCGGAUAGGAAUCCUUGCUGCAUGGUGGGGGUUGGAAAGCUUCGGCGGUUUUGGAUGGACUCGCGGCUUAUCAGCUUGUUGGUGGGGUAGUGGCUUACCAAGGCUUUGACGGGUAGCCGGCCUGAGAGGGCGACCGGCCACAGUGGGACUGAGAGACGGCCCAGACUCCUACGGGAGGCAGCAGUGGGGAAUAUUGCACAAUGGGCGGAAGCCUGAUGCAGCAACGCCGCGUGCGGGAUGACGGACUUCGGGUUGUAAACCGCGUUCAGCAGGGGCGAAGCUUGUGGUGACGGUACCUGCAGAAGAAGCACCGGCUAACUACGUG